rnacentral:rRNA from 1 species
CCUACGGGCGGCAGCAGUGGGGAAUAUUGCGCAAUGGGCGAAAGCCUGACGCAGCGACGCCGCGUGAGGGAUGACGGUCUUCGGAUCGUAAACCUCUGUCAGCAGGGAAGAACGGUCACUGUGCUAAUCAGCAGUGAAUUGACGGUACCUGUAAAGGAAGCACCGGCUAACUCCGUGCUAGCAGCCGCGGUAAUACGGAGGGUGCGUGCGUUAAUCGGAAUUACUGGGCGUAAAGCGCUCGUAGGCGGUAUGUCAAGUCAAGGGUGAAAGCCCCGCGCUCAACGUGGGAAGUGCCUUUGAUACUGGCAAACUGGAGUGUGUGAGAGGAUAGUGGAAUUCCAGGUGUAGGGGUGAAAUCCGUAGAUAUCUGGAAGAACAUCGGUGGCGAAGGCGACUAUCUGGCACAUAACUGACGCUGAGGAGCGAAAGCGUGGGUAGCAAACAGGAUUAGAUACCCGAGUAGUC